rnacentral:lncRNA from 1 species
UACGUCAAUGUUUGAUUGUUGGCAAGUUGGAAAAACGUUGGAUUGUUGGAUCGCGCGCUUGCCGUCCAACUAAAUAUUUGAAUUCUUAAAUAAAUUGCAAAAAUCACAAUAAUCUACAAUUUUAGAAUCCUUUAUAUAAUAAAAAAAAGUUUGCAUGGUACUAAAUAAGUUUCUAUGGUAACUAAAAAUACAACAAUAUAUACAGCGCCACCGGAAGUCACAAUACGUAAACAACAUUGCAAAAAGUUAUGUGUGUCACCGGCGGACCAAAAUGAUAAAUAUCAAGGAUAGUGAGCAUUAUCAUCUACAAAACAUUGAAGACGUUGACUAUAAAUACUAAAAGGAAUUACAAGAAGUAUGUGAAAACAGUUGCCAACACGUAAAAAUAGUGUUUUUAUUGAACAAUCGUCCCAAGUGACACAUGGGUUCUACUGCGCUUGUCAAUACAUUUCAUUCAUAAAUUCAAGCAAGGUGCGUGGAAUUUACUACAGUUGCUUAAAUUGGAUUAUCACAAAAAUACAAGACAUUUGGCUUCCAAAAUCAACAUAUAAUGACAGAUAGAUGUAAUCAUAGAACGCAUAGAUUUUACAAUACAGAGAAGUUAUGAUUAUCGAUUUUCAAUCAACUGAAAGUUAAAAUUGGAUUCAACCAAGCAUGAUGACCGCAUGCCCUAAUUUGCAGACGACACCUAUUUGUGGAUUAUUCAGUGGAUUAUUACUGUAAACUGGUAAAUUAUAACAUGAACUUCAAAUGUUUAAUCAAAUAUACAAAUGACAUUUAAUUCAAUAUUUCUACAAGAAUCAUAAUACUAUAAUUGUUCUAACUUUUCUUAAAUGUUAAUUAAAAAUGUUAAUUAAAA